rnacentral:rRNA from 1 species
UACAGAGGGGGCAAGCGUUGUUCGGAAUUACUGGGCGUAAAGGGCGCGUAGGCGGCCUUCUAAGUCGAACGUGAAAUCCCCGGGCUCAACCCGGGAACUGCCUUCGAUACUGCGGGUCUCGAGUCCGGGAGAGGUGAGUGGAAUUCCGUAGUGUAGAGGUGAAAUUCGUAGAUAUUAGGAAGAACACCAGUGGCGAAGGCGGCUCACUGGCCCGGUACUGACGCUGAGGCGGCGAAAAGCGUGGGGAGCAA